GUGGGGAAUUUUGGGCAAUGGGCGAAAGCCUGACCCAGCGACGCCGCGUGAGGGAUGAAGGCUCUCGGGUCGUAAACCUCUGUCAGGAGGGACGAACAGUUGCCGGUCAAUAGCCGGCAAACCUGACGGUACCUCCAAAGGAAGCGCCGGCUAACUCCGUGCCAGCAGCCGCGGUAAUACGGAGGGCGCAAGCGUUGUUCGGAAUUACUGGGCGUAAAGAGCGUGUAGGCGGUUAGGAAAGUCGGGUGUGAAAUCCCCGGGCUCAACCCGGGAACUGCAUCCGAAACUUCUUGGCUAGAGUCUCGGAGAGGAGAGCGGAAUUCCCGGUGUAGGGGUGAAAUCCGUAGAUAUCGGGAGGAACACCUGAGGCGAAGGCGGCUCUCUGGACGAUGACUGACGCUGAGACGCGAAAGCGUGGGGAGCAAACAGG
rnacentral:rRNA from 1 species